rnacentral:rRNA from 1 species
ACGGAAGGCAGCAGUAGGGAAUCUUCGGCAAUGGGGGCAACCCUGACCGAGCAACGCCGCGUGAGUGAAGAAGGUUUUCGGAUCGUAAAGCUCUGUUGUAAGAGAAGAACGUGUGUGAGAGUGGAAAGUUCACGCAGUGACGGUAACUUACCAGAAAGGGACGGCUAACUACGUGCCAGCAGCCGCGGUAAUACGUAGGUCCCGAGCGUUGUCCGGAUUUAUUGGGCGUAAAGCGAGCGCAGGCGGUUUAAUAAGUCUGAAGUUAAAGGCAGUGGCUUAACCAUUGUUCGCUUUGGAAACUGUUAAACUUGAGUGCAGAAGGGGAGAGUGGAAUUCCAUGUGUAGCGGUGAAAUGCGUAGAUAUAUGGAGGAACACCGGUGGCGAAAGCGGCUCUCUGGUCUGUAACUGACGCUGAGGCUCGAAAGCGUGGGGAGCGAACAGGAUUAGAUACCCUGGUA